rnacentral:rRNA from 1 species
AUUGAACGCUGGCGGCAGGCCUAACACAUGCAAGUCGAACGGUAACAGGAAACAGCUUGCUGUUUCGCUGACGAGUGGCGGACGGGUGAGUAAUGUCUGGGAAACUGCCUGAUGGAGGGGGAUAACUACUGGAAACGGUAGCUAAUACCGCAUAACGUCGCAAGACCAAAGGGGGGACCCUCGGGCCUCUUGCCAUCGGAUGUGCCCAGAUGGGAUUAGCUAGUAGGUGGGGUAACGGCUCACCUAGGCGACGAUCCCUAGCUGGGCUGAGAGGAUGACCAGCCACACUGGAACUGAGACACGGUCCAGACUCCUACGGGAGGCAGCAGGGGGGAAUAUUGCACAAUGGGCGCAAGCCUGAUGCAGCCAUGCCGCGUGUAUGAAGAAGGCCUUCGGGUUGUAAAGUACUUUCAGCGGGGAGGAAGGGAGUAAAGUUAAUACCUUUGCUCAUUGACGUUACCCGCAGAAGAAGCACCGACUAACUCCGUGCCAGCAGCCGCCGUAA